UGCAGCCGGGGAGAUAGCGGUGCCCUGUACCUGCAAUCCGCUCCAGCAGGGGUGAUGUCUCACCUCGGACGGUUUGCUGCAGAGCUGCCCUGGGUAAGUGGCGAUGACGUCCGGGUCUUGCGCAACAGAACUCCGUGAACCGUGUCAGGGCAGGAAUGCAGCAGCACUAAGCGGAUUCUUCUGUGUGCCGCGAGGCAGCCUGGACCGAGUUAACUGCUCAGGUAACGUCUGUGGCAG
rnacentral:SRP_RNA from 1 species